CAGCAGGAACACCCCAGCACCCCCACAGCACCAGGAGAGCUCCCUCCAGUACUGCUCCUUGCCUGGGAGCCAUAGGAAAACACAUGGGGAGAGGACACAGAGCAGGCUCUCACUGUUCACAGAGAAGUUUCUCUGCACUCUCUGUGAUUUUAAAGGAGAUGGUUUUGAUGCUAUUUUUAACUGCACGUAAUAGUGCAGAAAGAACUGAAGUAAAUGAAAGCAAAAUGAUGGAAUCUUUUAGGAAUGAGACAUUGUUGAAUGAACAUUGCCUCAUUGCACAGCCUCAUUUGACCCUAAAUGCAGCAGAAACUGUGAACUUGAUGAAAAAAAAGUUAAUUACGGUACACACUGUAAUGUGUAAUAAAAAAACCCCUCCCACAAGAAACAAGGUAGAACAAAAUAUAGAGUCAACAGCAGUCCAAAUUCACUGGCUCAUCUAAGAAAGUAAUAACAAACAAAACAGAAGAUUUGAUUUUCACAAGGAUCAUGGAAAAUAUCAGGAUAUUGAGAAAAACAAGUCUUUUACACUCAUAAAGUAAAAAAACUCCUUAAUGAUUUAGCUACUGUAAACCUAGGAGAUUGCUUCCUGUUAACUUUUAAAACAAACGGAACCCAGUCAAAUAUUUGCCAAGCAAAUUCUAACACCCAUUCUUCCAUUUCUGAAUUUCCACAAUUACUGUAGAAACAGCUUCCUUUUUUACUUUUUUGUAAACAUUAUUUUUCACGCUACAGUACUAAAACAAUGUACAAGAAAGUACUCACAUUUAUAAGGACUUUUUAUUGUUUGCUCUACCAUUCAUGUCUGUAUUUUGUUAUCGUACUACUCCUAAAUCUUUUGCAACCUGCAGGGCACAUGCCUAAAGCACAUUCCCACUUUGUGCUUAUCCCCUCUUUGCAAUUAUCUUUCAUUCCCAUCAUUUCAGCUCCUCUGCCAAAGAUGAUUUGCUAUCAGCUAUGGGAGCACCACCUCACUCUCCAAAUACUGUCACCAGAUGGAGAUUGUGCAUUUAUUGCUGUGACAACUCAACUGGGCACUGGAACCAAACACAUUAGAGCUAAACCACCUGACUUGCAUGAGUUGUUUGACUGGAAAUAUACAUAAAUUUUUAAGAGUUGCAAGAGAAGCCAUGAGUAUUUCUUUGGAGAAUGCUGGUUAACAGAGGUAAGUUCAUACCUAGACUUCAGUGAUCUUGGGCACAAUCUCGACCUCAGGAAAGAGCAUUUAUGGGUGAUAUGUCAAAGGAAAGUCAUAGGAUCUUUUCCUUCUCUCCCUGAAGGGUAAAGAAGAGGGCUCACAGCUAACAGCACCAGCUAAAUCCUGAAAGAGAUUUCUCAUUCCUCACUCACCCUUACCAUCUCUAUGCCCUCUUCUUAAAGAAGUAUAAUCUUGGCAACCUGGAUGGUUUCCUCUGCACAACACUGCUGUAAGUCAGCAACUCAAGGCAAUACUGAAGCCAGUGCCUUAAGCAGGCCUGUGAUGACACAAACUCAAUAAGUUUUGCCAGGCAGAGCUAAGGAGGGAGAAUGCUUCCCACGUGUCCUCAGCACUGAGCACUGGCUGCAGAAAUGAAUGCUCUCGCUGGCCUUUGCCCUUCCUUUCCAUGCCUUUGUCCUGAGGGGUGCUCUAAGAGAACAAGGACUGCACUCCAUCAGCUGCCCCCCUUCAUCUGGGUGAGGCCUCUAGUUUCUCCCCUUUCCUCUAGAAGUACUAGUUAGUGAGUAUGUACCAUUUUAAUCCCAAAUUUUAAAUUAUAUGAUACAGAAACAAGUAGGUGUCCUUAUGAAAAUAAAAAAUUGGUUCUGUAUUUAACGUAUUCUUUUGUUGGGUUUCUUUCUUCUUAAAAAAAAGAAAGAGUUACAUAGAUUUCUUCUUCCCCAGCCACCAAAUGGUUACUUCGUUUUCAAAUAGACGGAGGCCUCAGUACUCAGACAUUUAUCUAACAACCAAAUCUUGCAUCACUAAACUAUAGCGUUAAGUUUCUUUUCAUUUUUUGUUCUAUUUACAUUAUUUUAAACUCUUGAGACAGGGAGACAGGAGAGAAUGCUGCCCUUUACUCUCAGACCUAUAAUAACAUCAGAUGCUUCAUGACAUACAUAACAUUUUUGAAGCUUUAUGGAAUUACAGCUAAAAAUGAUCAGAAGUCACCAACCAGGUGUAGCUAAACUAUCUUGAUCCUAAGAUACAGGAUAAUUAAGAGUAAAUGUUACCUCAGUACUGACAGUGUCUUUCAAACUAAAAUUUGAGUCAAGCAUUAGUACACUUUGUUUCUUCUCCUUUAGAAAAAAGAAGGCAAAGUUGCUCCAUUAUUUAUAUUUAAUGAAUCAUUCAAAGACACCAGUUUUGUCUAUUCAUAAUUGCAAUGUUUAAAUAUAGUGCACUGAUUGCUUCUUGUCUUUUUGAAGGACCACAUGGCAACAUCUGCGAGUUUAUUUUGGAAAAAAAAAUCAAUAGAAGCUAUAAAUUCAGAAUCCAAGUGGCUGUUAAUUGAGGAUGCUGACUGGUACUUAACAGGGCUUCCAGUUUCAGUUUGGAUCCACUGGGGUCUGACCCUUCCAAUGGUUUUCAAGAAGAACAUAGAACAGGAAAGCAAAGGGGGAGCCCCAAAGUUGGGGAAGAAAAGGAUAAACAGGGAGAGAUUGUAAUAUUGUGUGUGUAACACACUGAUGCCAACUGCUUCUCUCUCCUCUUACUCCCUCCAUUUUGACAAUAUUUCUACUCCAGCCUUUUUGGGGAGGGAUAUUUCCUGUCAGCCAUACUGUCAGAAUAGGGAAUGUCUGUCAUUACACUUUGUAGGAACUGCAACACAUAUGGUUCCCUAUGUUCAGAAAGUUUUUUGAAUCAAAUGCUGCCUCUGGAGCUCCUAGUUAAGAGUUACUACUGCCACAAUAGAGAACAGCCAAGGAGAAGCAACACAGAACAAAGUUUUCUCCCGGACAAGACUGCUCCAAGGCUGUCUCUAGCUGCCAACAGAUCAGCAGGCUUAGCUUUGCUCACAAGAAUGCCCUCUCCACACAGGUAUCCAGUUUCUCCCCUGUACCAUUGCUAACUGCGAUGUUUCCCUUUUCAUACCCUCAUAAGAACAACUUCUGCACUAUUUAAAAGGCACAGAACAUUUCUUACUCUCACACUUCACACAUUACAAAUUCACUACCUUCCCCAUGGGUUUAUCACAGUAAAAUGUGAAUCCAACCCAGUCCCUGGUGUCUGAGAUGUAACACAGGUACACACACAUAGCCCGGACACCCUGAAUGCACCAACCACUGAAAGAAAUAAAUGUUUCAACAGUAGGAGCUGGAGGAAAAAUCCUACUUUUGCAAAUAACUUUAAUCCUGUCUCUACUCUAAAAUUUUAUUCAAAGCUGUAGCAACCACUGGGAAUUUUUUAAAAGACUCACUGUACAUUCAGCUCUCAAAGCAAGAACCAGAUACAGUGAAAUAAAAGUAAGUAACAAAUAAAACCAAGCAAGACACUAAAAGUUCUAUGUCUCAAUUGAAAGUUUCAGUUGAAAUAAGCCUGCCUUUUGUAGCUGAGCCACUACUUUAUAGUGACUGCUAGAAUCCAUAUUGACCUUAGUCAAAGCAUUCUUCUGUCUAUAUGAUCAUGUCCACAAACCAUCUCCGGUCAUCUGCCUCCUGAGAUCAUGAAACAGGAACUCAUCUGGAGGUUGGGCAUGUAAAAGUAUAACUUUCUCCUGACACUUAACAGAAUAUAAAGGCUUCCAUUAGAUUAAGGUUUGUCUGUAACUAAAUAGUGAGGUGAGCUUGUAGAUGGUGCACCAGGAAAAUGAGGAUGCUGGGUACAUUAUGUUUGCUUGGUAGUUGUGAUCAUCCAGCAUGGCAGUGCCCGUCUCACACAGGUGUUUGUCCCACUUAAGGAAGGAUUAACAGUCAAGGAGAGAAUGAGUUAAAUCCUUAAAAUUCUUCUCUCAAACUAAAAGUUUGCUUCUUUGACUUAAUGUUCUAUGUAUUUUUCCAAAUAGAAUGAUACUAUUGCCAACUCCAUAUAAUUUUAUAAGUAAUCUGUGAAUUAAAAAUGAAUGUUGUGCCAUUUUCCAACCUGACAAGUAUGGUUAACUAUGAUGAUCUGCGAGUGAAAGGGUCAAGCAAUUUCCUAGUCAAGAUUUGCUUUAUUUCUCAGUGAGGUAAGCAACAAUUGGAGGAAGGAAAGGCUUAAGCAUGACAUUUCAGAAACCAGAAGCUGUUCUUGUAAAACAGAUGAACAGUACAAUUCAAAACCAGGAAAACCACAUAUAAUUACAGGUCAAAAAGCUGAAAACAUUAAGGGGGGAAGGAGCCAAAACAUUGAGAGUCUUAAAGACCAACAAAAUAGCAGAAACAACUAGAACAAACAUACAUAUAUAAGCAGAAAAAAUAGAAAAUAAUUAAGUGAAUUGAAAUAUGACAGGCCAUCAAAACACUAGGAUGAGCAAGAUGUACUGUUCAUCUUUAGAUCUUGACGAACAAGAAUAUUGGAAUGGUCUGUUUUUCCCUCAGGAAAUAAAUAUGUUAGAUUUUAACUUCCAGAAGAAAAAAUAAAAUAAAUCUGCCUUUUUUUUUUUCAACAGUACUCAUGUUUAAUGAAAAUAAUUUGACAAGCCAGAGGGCUAUCUGUUCAAAUCAGUGAUUAAUUAAACAAGACUACUUUAAUUAUUCUUAAAAUACCACUGCUACAUUUAUAUUUUUAAAACUCAUGAGUCUUUUAAAUGAGAAUGCUAUCAUUUCCAGACUUGGAAAUCUGAAAGAUUACAGGCCAUAUACUGAAGGUUUCGAGAACUGCAGAAUGAAAAUAAUAGUUAGUUCAGUCUUAGGAACAAGAAAAAUAGGAUUAACAGCAACAUGUUCCCAUACAGUAAAGAGAGUAAAGAUCUUUCUGCUAUUUGAGACAGUAACAGUUUUUAUAUCUGCUAUAAAGACUAGAUCAUUCACACACACCCCUGCUUACUAGUAGGUUUCCUUUAAUCCCCUUUCCAAAGGGACUCCAUCUAACAGGGAUGCCAACUAGACUGUUUUUCAGAAUAGAUUGUCUUUUCUCAAGAAAAAUAUGCAAACAGCACAAAAGACAUCUGAGCUUUUGCCAGACUACAGCUAACAGCAAAUAUGGAUUUACAUAUUGUAUUGUUUUCAUAAGGUGUACAACUUUUCAAAACCGGGCAUGUGAAGAACAUGCAGACUUUAUCAAUAACUAGGCCACAUAUUUAGAAAUGGGGAUAAUCAGUUUAAAUCUUUGUCAAAUUUAAAAGGUAAAGCCUAAAAAUAAGAUUACAGUAAAACGCAUUACUGGCACAACAGCUGCCAGAAAGAUUAAAAAUGAGUGAAACAACUGAGCCUUUGACACAAACAUAUCAAUCUGCAAUGCUCACACUGUCAUGGAGAGACAAGGAGUCAUUAGAAGAAUCAGGUACGGAUGCAAGAAAAUCUGUGUUCUAAAGAAAUGCUUUUCCUUUGUUUAAACUAAGCAGCUGAAACAUAAUGUACAUGUUUAUUUAAUCCAUGGUAAGUAACUUCCACAACUUGGUUAUUUCAGAAGCUAAUGCAGCAGCCAAGGUGAAAAAGGAAGACACAUAUUUUGGACAUACAAGGCUUUUUUCAGACUAGUCUGAUUUUAGUGACUCUGACUUCUGGUGUAAUGAAGGAUAUAACUUCUUCCUAGAAAUCAUAUAUUCUUUUUUCUUUUUUUUUCUGUAGACAAUCUUGGCUGCACUACCAGUAUGAACAGGUUAAGGUCUUUGAAGGAAGAGUCAUUGGCAUUCAUUUGCUCUUUGUAAAUAACCUGUUUCCUCCUUAUUCAACCAUGUACUAUAAUUCACACCACCAAUGCAAAAUGAUGAAAACAAAGUCUAUAUUCACACUCUUCACUGCACUCAGGGAUUUGAAAACCUAUUUAAACUAUCCCCAUCCAGCUGGGUUUUUUUUCUGAGAAGUUUUAGCCCUCAGACAGAAAAUAUUCCAUACCUUUGAUCAAGCAUGACAACCUUUGCUAUUCAUUUACUACUGCUGUCAUAUUUUAAAGAUAACUAUAACAUUAGUGAAGUGCAUAAUAUUGAAAAGUUGAUGUGCUAGAAAUUCAUGCAUUUGAACUAGUCAAGUAUUCUGAUUUGUCCUAUAUUCCUUUACUAGUCUAUUGUCAAGAGCCUUUCAGAUUCCUUCUAGAUAGUCCAGUACCACUGAGUACUGAACCAAUUCCUAAGACAUAAGUCCUUCCUUAAUGGCAACAGCCGAUUUAUUAACUAAAAGGUCAAGGUUUUAAAGUUUUUUUCUUCUUCACCAUGUAAAGUGCUUGGUACUUACCUAAGUUUAAUCCCAUCUGCACUUACACAAAGUUCCCUGGAAGCUUUCAUAGUUGCUUUUGAUUCACAAGACUCUUUCUCUAUAAUGAAAAAGCGUCCACAUAUUGCAACUUCCUGCCUAAUAUUUCAAUGGGGCAAACUCUGUUGAGUUUUUCAGAUGUGAAUUCAAACAAAAAAAUAUUUAAAUUAACUGUGCUGCAGUCACAUUAUCCACCUGUAUUUUCUCCUUUUCAUCUUAAUAAUUAUUAGCUUUGCUGACUCCUGGCAAACUUGUUUCUUGCUUACUAUGUAUUAAUACCUGUUAAUGCACUUACAAAUUUAGGGGGUUUCGUUGUUAUCUUUUCUCUAAAAUGUCAGUUUACAUCUUUUCCAUUUUCUUCAGUGGAUAUUACUUUCACUUUUUGAAGGAAGCAUUUUUAUUUUCAACAGAUCUUUCAUUCAGCUUUCAGUCACUUUUUUUUUUCUUUUUAGACUUUACCCUUAAUUGGGACACAUAUACUUGAGCCUCUGCCUUUCAACAUAACUCAUUGUGACUCUAAGCAUUCUCCCUUUUAUUUCUUUUUUUUUUUUUUUUUUUUUUUUUUUUUUUUUUUAAAUUAAAAUCCUUUUGGUAACUCAAGACACUAGACAAAACAAAAAUAAAACAAGGGUACAGCAGUGCCACUACCUCCACUGUAGAAACUGCUCUGCAAAGAAUAAAGGACUUCUAUAUUAACAGCCAUCAUUCCUUUCUCAGGCAAAAGACACAUAAGAUCUAGUCCAGGAAAAUAAAAAGCUUUAAAAACUCAGGGACACCAUUCAAUUAUGUGACAUAACUAUGAAGACAAAACUUGCUUAGUCCUACCACUGAAUACAAGUUAGACAUAAUUGGGUGCUUAUAACACAACAGUUCCAGGAUUACAUAUGGACUGGACUUUGCAAUGCAAAGCAUUUCUAUCCUUAAUUAAUAAAGAUUACUGGAAAUUUCAAGCCUUUCAUCCUUUCUUCCUGGCCCCCCCCCAAGAAUUUUAUGUUGUGCACCUCUACAGCUAAGUCUGCUAAGUCAUUCCCUCUCAAUAAUAGAAUAAACUUCAAGGUCAAGCACAAGGUCCUGCACAUGGUCAGGACAAUCCCAAGCACAAAUAUAGGCUGGGCAAAGCAUGAAUUGAGAGCAGCCCUGCUGAGAAGGACUUGGAGGUCCUGCUAGAUGAGAUCUGGACGUGACCUGGCAAUGUGCACUCAUAGGCCAUACAGCCAACCAAAUCCUGGGCUGCAUCAAACCCAGUGUGGGCAGCAGUGCAAGGGAGGGGAUUCUGUCUGCUCGGGUGAGAUCCCACCUGCAGAGCUGCAUCCAGCUCUGGGGUCCCAGGACAGGAAGGACAUAGAUCUGUUAGAGCGAGUUCAGAGGAGAGUCACAAAGAUGAUUAGAGGGCUCGAGCACCUCUGUUACAAAGGCUGAGAGAGUUGGGGCUGUUCAGCCUGGAGGAGAGAAGGCUCCAGGGGGACCUCAGAGCAUUUUCCAGUACCUAAAGCAGCUAAAAGAGAGAUGUAGGGGAACUUUUUAUACAGGCAUAGAGUGACAGAAAAAGGGGGGAAUGGCUUUAAACUGACAGAGAUAUUAGGAAGUUCUUUAUUUGGAGGGUAAUGAGGCACUGCAACAGGUUUCCCAGAGAAGCUGUGGAUACCUCAUGCCUAGAGGUGUUCAAGGCCAGGUUGGAUGGGGCUUUGAGCAACCCCAUCUGGUAGAAGACGUCCCUGCCCAAGGCAGGGGCUUGGAUUGAGAUGCUCUUUAAGGUCCUUUCCAACCAAAACCAUUCUAUGAAUCUUAAAUUAUUACAGAAUUGGAGUGGAAAAACCCACACACACCCCAAACAUGCAUACACUUGGAGUUGGUUGGCUAAAUAGGGAAAACAUGUUACAUCAUUUUCUUCACUCUAGUAGUUUAUUUAUUAAAGGUUUGUAACCACAUACAUACUGCUAUUACUUAAUUUUUCAUUUUCUAUGCAAAUAUAAUUUUUGAAAGCUUCUGGCUUCUUCAUUCUUCUUAAUGCUACCUCUCCAGUGAUCUCUAGAGCUUAGUCUUGCCACCUAAACUCUGAUCUGAUGCUUGUCUAGCAUAAAUAGUUCUUUUAGAUCAUAAAAGACUGAGUUCCUAAAAGAUAGCUCUUUUGACACACAGUGGAACAUAACUUCUCUUCUGCCUCUCUGAUAAAUCAGAGGUUCAAAUAACCAGGAACUGCAAUACAGAAACACAGCUGGUUAGCAAGAAAUAACCAAGCCAAUAAAAAACAAAUCAACCCAAUCCAAACCUGGGAAAAGUGUUCUCAUUUUCUUUCAGUAAGAAAGAAAUGCUUCUGCAAUAGGUCUUUCAGGCACCAUAAAUUAGUAUUCCAGGAUGACUUGUUGCAAGUCAACCUCACAUAAGCAACCAUCUGUAUUUUGAGAAUAUUGAUUACAUGCAGUCGAAGAAAGCUUCUUCAGCUAAAAAGCUGAGGUUCAAUAAAUGAAAAAAACCCAGUAAAAAUUGACUUGCCAAUGUUAAAGUAACAUACGCUUAAGGUACCUUCACAACAUCUCCUAAAAUUCUGUUCCCUAUAAAUAAACAUCUAACAAUUAAAAACAAAUUAGGCAUAAACCAAACUUAUAUUAAUGUUAUGAAUUGUAAAUAUUUUUCACAAUUGGUUGCCGUGAAAAGGAUUGUGUGUCACAUGCAGAAGAUUAAGAUGUCACAUUGGAAGUGAUCAGGAGCAGACAGAUUUAUAAGAACCACUAAACCAGCUUUUAUGGAAAGGACAUGAGCGUAUCUUUUCCUACACUUUACAGAAUGCAGUAGCAGAAAUCUUUUAUAGCAGUCUUUUUAUUACUGAUCCUCUUAAAAUAUUUAAAAAGGUAGUGAACAAAACACAAAUAGAAGGUAGUAAGGAUGUAUCACUAUUGAAAUGCUUAGAGUAGCACAGAAAGCCAAACUUACUGAGUCCUGCUUCUGCAAACAGCUCACAGAAGGCUGUGUUCUGCCUACCUGUUGCACCUUGAUUUAAUCCUCAUAUAAGUAUAUAACAUACCAGAGCAAAAUGAACCAGUACAAGACCUCUUGCACACCCAUCCUUAGAAACAAAAGUCAAAAACAACAAGUAUUCACCUGGAUAAAAAAUACACUCAUAGCUCUCUAAAAGGGAACUAGCCCCAAGCAACUGUCCAGACAGGAAGGUUGUAGUUUAGAAGCACCAAGUAGCUUAGGUUGAUAGAAGCUUUACUCUGACUUGUGUUGUCAAAGCUAUUAGCAAGCUUUCCACUAGAGGCACUUUAUGAAAUGGACUGACUUUGUCUUUACAACACAUUUCUCCUUGAAAUGAAGUCCUCGGUAAAAAGAAAAAAGGGGCAAAUUGUGGUCUGGCAGCUCUCCUUCCUCAGCCAUUUUCAUACAUAAUGUGAUAACUUACUAUGUAAGUAGAAUCAUUCCUCAAGGACCACCUCCCAAUACCAUGGCUCCUGAAAACUCAACAUGCCUGCAGACCCACACAAGAGCUGCAUCCUGUCAGUAGGACUGGCUUUCCAGAGAUGCAGAAUAUGAGAUAUCCCUCUGACACCUCAUGGGACUGGCUGCUAUUCCCCUCCCCUGAUGGAAAACAGAAGUCAUACUGGACUGGAGACUGAGUCAUUGCUAUAGGUAAAUCAUGUCAUCUAUUAGCUACCAUUUAAAAAAAUGCAGACAUCAAACCUUGAAAUAAAUGGGGUGUUUACGAUAUCCAUAAGAAAUAGGUCUGGGCUUCCAGUACAAGUGAGAGAUGGACAUCCUAAGAAUACAGCAAAGGCCCACUAAGACUAUUUAAGUACUACAGCACCUCUCCUAUAAGGAGAACUGGUUCUGCUCAGCCUGGAAAAGAGAAAGCUCAGUGCGGCAUCUCAACAGUUUUUCAUAAAUACUUGAAAGGAGGGCACACAGAAGACAGAGCCAGGCUUUCUUCAGUGGUUCCCAGAGACAAAUCAAAGAUGAUGGGUACAGAAACACAGGAAGUUACCCCUGAACAUCAGGAAACAACAGUCACCUCCAUGAUAAAGAGAGCACUGGCACAGGUUGUCCAGGAAAGUUGUGGAGUUUUCCUUGGAGAAAUUUAAAAGUCACCUGAACAUGGCCCUGAGAAACUGGCUCUUGGUGGUGCUGCUUCAGCAGGGGUGUUGGACAAGAGGACCUCCAGAGGUCCCUUCCAACCAUGCUAUGGCUUUGUGAACAUCAAUUAAGAAAGAAGGAAGCAUGGCAAUUUAUCAUUUUCAGAAUAAACUGCACUCUGAAUUUCACAUGGUGUUCAAACUUUAGCAGUCUUCCUAAAUGAUGAGUAGGUCUCAUCAAUGAAGCACUCUUUAGAAAAUGGCUCAAUAUGUAUGGAUUGGCAAAAUUCUGAGUAUUACUACUGGAUCAAUACUUUAAUUAAGAUGUAUGAAAUUAUGUUUGACAAUUACUUUUAGCAAUAAUAAGGUAAAAAAAUUCCACUUUCUUACAAUGCUUUGAUAUUAAAUACAAAUCACAGUGUUGAAUAAGCCUCUGGCAAGGUUAAUUAAUAAAGCAAUAUCAAUCAAGCACGAAAUUCUCAUGGGACAAAUGUUACCCGUGGCAGCAAUAGAAAACAAGAAGAGACAUCCAUCAAAGAUUAAAGGCCAGGCAAAGACCACAUUGUUUCCAAAAUGAGACCCUAAGCUGGACAAUCACAGUACAAAGCUUUAAUAGACUACUCUAAUGCAUCACCUAACACAAUAACUCCAAUCCAUCAAUUUUCAUGUUAGAGUGCAUCUGAAUGGAAAUACCCAUCUACAGCACACCAGUUUAAAUAUCACUGGCUUUUCCCCAUUGUAAAUUUAAAGCCAUCAAUUAUUAAUCAUUGAUAGAAUAAAAAUCUGGAAACAAAUACAUGAAAACAUGUUCUCUGAAGCCCCAAGGCAUUCAAUCAAAACUUUUGGAACAGCUCCACAGCAGUUCUAGGCCUCACAUGAAAUGAAUCAUUAAUUUGGUUUGACUACCCAAAACAUUUUGCUUAGGCUCAAACUCAUCAGCUCUAUUUUCCAACUCUAAGCAGAGAAUAUGCGAUUCUACAAGUGCCCUCUGAUUAUAAUGCCCAACAUUUUAGAGAAAAAAAAAAAACAAAAACCAAAACAUUUCUAAGUCACAGACUAGAUGCAACUCCUACAAUUUUGCACCCUUCCUGAACAAGGUAACAUUACAGUAGCCAUCUCCUCACUGAGGUGGGUCAUACAUCUCAUCUGCUGGGCAGGCACUGUGUGCUUUCAGCUCUCAGACAAAGUAUCAGAGCUAGGGACACUUAGUACUUCUCUGAAACAGUCUCUUAAUGAGACAGGACUAGAAAGCAUCCCUGACUUUAUUUACUGAGCCUAAUGCAAGAAAAAAACAAUGACGAGAAAAUUCUUCCAGACAAUGAAAUUUAUUUUUACUUCCAAUUAAAACAAAUGAGAACUCUACUGAAAAAGUAGCACCAUAGGAUGUCAUGCUUGCAUGGUUAACAAGUGUUAAUACAUGAAUUCACACAGAAUGCAUCAUAAAUUAAUUCUACAUUAGGAGUCAGCUUUUAAUUACAUUAUCUCAUGCUAGAGCUUCAAGUUACUCCUGAAAUCUCCCUGAUUUAGAGUCUUCAUGGAUUUCAGGAUAUUUAUGACUCUUCAAUAAGGUACUUCCAGUAUGAAGCUCCCCUUAUUUCCCAUGCUGUAGUCAGAAGCCACCGGUAUCAGAAGGCUGAUAAAACUAUUGUAGGCCAGAGCAAUAUAUAUAUAUAUAUACACACAACCACCAAGAUAUCAGCUUUGCUUACAAGAGAAGUGUUCCCAACACUCAUUAGUUUAAAAGGUAGUUUGAGCCUGAACUAAAUGUGUCCCAAAAGCAGCUGAGAAACAAACCUGGACCUCUCAAGCUUGCUAGCUACUUCAUGCUGUCAGCAUUUAAUUUUCUGGAUGUUUGCCAACAUACAGAAGGAAGAAGGACAAAAGACAUUUUUAAUUAUGGAAGGGGCCUAGUUAAAAACAUAAAAUUAAAAAGAAAUCCAGGCCAUUUAAUUUAAUACAAAGUAAAAACCCAUAAUAUCAGAGCUAUUGUUCAUGACCAAUGCCCCAGGAACACUAAGAACCUGAACCAAACAAAUGAGUAUUUUUCUUUCUGUUAUCUGAAGAGAAUUAUCUUUAUUAAAACCAAGCUGGCCUUUAUGAAUAAUACACACGAACUUCAAACACACCAAAGAACAGUUACUCAUUACAAAAUUACCUCUAAGAGGGGGAAAAAGGACACAGUUUUAUUCAACAGACCUGCUUCCCGGUACUUCCAGUCACAAAGACAGCAUAAACUGCCAUGUAUUUAAAAAUGGCCAAAAAAAGGAUAACAUUCUUCUACAGCCAGCCUUGCUGAGAAGGAGCACCAGCCACCAUGGUGUACUUCUGCUGCCAAAGGCACACUUCAUGCACUGGGAGUAGUUCAGGCGUUAUUGCCACAGCUAGCCCAGCAUGCAAGGGAAGAGGGAUUCUGCAGGAUGCUGUACUCAAAUGACCUUCACCUGGAUACUCCUACCACUCAAGCAAGAGAUGAGGGAUGCUGUAAUUUGAGACAAACAAUAGGAAAUACAGCCCACUCAGUGCACAGGUGGAUGGCAGCUUCACUCAAGGCAGCCGCACUGGGAACAAAGUACAAAUGGGGCUGCUGUUGCAUCUUCACAAGGGGCUUCACAAGCCGACAACAAAUUGUUGAGAAAACACAGAUAAAAACCACAUUCAUUAUUCCUGUGGCCUUCGUGUAAUGAGACUGAAAUUUAAAAAAAAAGGUCAGAUAAUAGUUCUACUGGAUGGGUAGAAGGUUAAAUGCCCAUCAAAUCAACUGCUGCAACUGUGUCUGCUGUGAAUUACUCCUCCACACACUUCAGUUUACUAGAAAGAUAACAAAUUAUUUUGACAGUUUUUUGCCACACUUUAAAGCAUUUUCCAAACAUUAAAAAUUAAAGGUUUGAAAUUUAGUGGAAGACUAUGAAGAAAAUUGAAACCUCAAGUUCUCCAUCUAUUUUUCAACAACAGCUGCUAUUCCAACACCGUAUUCUAAAAUUAAGUUUUAUAGAUGUAUUUGUGAAAAACGUGAGAUGAUUAAUUCAUGUUCUUAUGAUAAACUGGAAAAUGAUAAAGCUGUAUAAAUUUAUAUCAGGUAAAAGUCUAUGUUUCAGGAGGUUUCUGCAGCAGAUAGUGAAACUGACCACCCUGAAAAUCAGGCGUCUCCAUUCAGAAGGGAACAAAAGACUUUGCAGCCUUCUCAAGUAUUGGGAGGGGACCUGUUGAGAUGAGCCGGUAUCAGCAACUCACACCUCGGGAGCCACUUUCACAGACCAUCAAGCAAUAUCACCCAUAUCUCGAACAUUCAUCAACUAUAAGGAUCCAUAAAAACUGAAUAUUAACACAUGGACUUGGGAGGGGAGCUCUUUUUCAAUCUGACUGGAGACGAAUUUGGGUUUGAAUAGCUAACCAAGAAACAAAGGGAAGUAUGGGGAAAUAUUGCCAGAGGCAGAAUAAAGAGUAUAAAAACCAAGCCUCGAACAUGGCAAAUUCGUGAACCCAGCUAGACACCGGCUGCCAGGUCCUGUGUCUCUGGGUCACCCUUGGCUCAACUUUUCCCGGGAGAAAUUCUGUCAAGUAAGUGUCGCUGUUUGUGGGGUUCGUAUUGUUUUGUUUUUAUUGUUUAAAAUUGUUAUAAUUUGAUUCCAAAUUUUGUGAUUUGAAUUUUAAUAAACCAAAUUAUUGAAUUUGGCAAUAAAUUUGUCCUGGCGUUUAUAACAUAUUUAUGCCAAGGUCAGCAGCUUUGCAGAGAACCUGUCCCAAGCAGACUUUAAAGGAACAACAUAUACACUUAUAGACAACUUGUCACUUGGAAUAUAUUUUUCUCAAAGCAGGAUGUGGAUGCUUGAGGUUCACAGGCAUCAGUUAAGCACAGCGUGCCUGGCCCAGAGAACACUGUAAUUCAAUGCUACUAGCUGGGGGUGGAGGUUGUCAAACAUAGAAGAUAAGGCAUCUCUGAAAAUCUUAAAGAUUUAUCAAUACUUUGGAGCAAACAAUGCUGAAAACCCAUUGGGAAUGAAGCUGUUAGUGCCAGCAACUAACUUAAAUUCUUAAUAACAUGAUGAAAAAACAUAAUAACAACAUAUUAAACAGAAGCACAAAUAACAUGAUGCUUGAAUAUAUUUUCUUUAAAGGCACAUACAACUUCAUUUUUGAAAUUAACAUCACAAUUAAUAGAUAACAAAGUUGGUUCAAAUUACCAACUCCAUCUGUGAAAAGUCUGAUGUAAGUCUCAUUCAGAUCAGAAAUAUCCAUGCAUAAAAUACUCCCCAAAAGAGAUAGCCUCUUAGAAUUUUAGACUUUUUCUAUGACAAAGUGUAGAAGACAUGAUUCUAAGCAUCUUUUAGCCCUAACAGUUACAAAACAAGACAGUAUGUUGAUGAAGGAAAGGCUAGAAGUGAAAAGAAAAAGUAGUAGUAAAUACACAAAUUCUUGAAUGAGAUGAGUAAGGAAUAAUCAUGACAGCAAAAUAGAACAAAACUAAAGUGGGUAGCAAAACAGACAUCAUAAAAUGAUAUUCAGGUCAAAGCUUCUCUUACAACUUCCCCACUCUCUGCCAAAAUCCCACAAAAACUUCAACCUUUAUAUGAUUAUUACUCCAACUUUUUGUCCCAACUCUUCUAGCUGUUAGCACUGAUGUUAAUGUGUCAAAGUUAUACACACGGGGAUAAAUCUGUAUGCAACACUAAUGUGACUUGCUUUGCUUCUACUGCAGCCUAACACAGGAAAAUGUAUUUGUUCUCCUUUGCCCAUUCCCUAAAAGAAACUGUUCUGACUUGACAAACUCUCUAUUUCUGCCAAGUACACCCUGUUCCAACAUUUCUUUAUUCUAUUAAUUUGAAGGGUUGGGAUGCAAACAAAAAAGCCCUUAUUUAUAUAUUAUUUCAUUAAAAUAAAAAUAAAGUUCAUAGCUUAUUGACAGAAUUCUUUAAUACAUAAAGGAAAAAAACUCAAGUUUAAAUCACUGGACUCAUUGCUACAAUGUGUAAAGAGUACAAGCCAAGACAGCAACAAUAGUGCUCUUAUGCUCUACUGAGAAGGUCACAUAAAGGAUUAAAGCUGAUAAAUCUCCAUGGGUGUAUGGUUCCAUAAAUCUUGUGUCUUCAAGAUUAAACCUUUGGUUUUCAUUAAUACUACAAAGAGCAAGAACAAAACCUUGUUAAAUCAGAGACAUAAGCUUAUUUCAAGAAAUGCCAAAGUCCUAACUCAAAUUCAAGAAGAUAAAGAAAACCCCAACACACUCUCAGGGCGACUGAGGCAGGAGCCCAGGUCACUGAACCCAGCUAAUCCCCUGCUAAGCAAAGGUCUCUGCCCAGUUACAGUCUUUGUACCCACAGAACAUAGUUGGUUUCCUCAGGUCAAGUAUGUGCUCAGCUAAGCUUGCAAGUCUACUGGAUGAGGAUCAGGUUUAUUUCCCAGGGUGCUUAAACUGGCUACCAGCUUCUCCUCUGUCUACGUCAAUCCUGUCCAAUUUCAAAUUCCUGUAUGAAGGGUCUGUAGCCAGACUGGAGACCUCCAAGAAGCAGCACAGUUCAGAACCAGACAGGGUUGCUAGUUUCAGAGCAGGAUCAAAGAUUCACAAAGCCAACUAGCUCCUUUGCCCCACAUUCCCCUGAAGCAGAGCAAAGUUGAGACCAAUUCUGAAUUGGUGCAAUAAACAUAGCAGCUAAUAGCAGAGUUAAUUUCAGAUGAAAUGCAACUCUGUUUACACUGUACUAGAGCUGCUCUUUGGCUACAGUGAAAGAAGUACUCCUUGCUCCUUGGACAACCCUUCAACCUUCUUCUAUUUCUUGACUCAUGCCCAAAUGCUCAGGAAAGAAAAGCUGCAAGCCCGCAAGGGAGGGAGGCUGGACGUACACACAGAUUAACCAGAAACAGGUAUUCAUUCCUUCAGCCAGAGGCACAAACAAAGCAUGAUGAUGGGCUUAACAAGUACAACGCACAUCUCCCAGUCAAUGCAACGAUCUGUAGGGAAUGUAAGGAGAUGCAACAAUCUGCAGGGAAAAAGAAAAGCUUUCAAAGGAAGAACAGAGAAUGUGGUAGCUAAUGCAACAAAGACCCCUCUCCUGCAAGUGUUCUCAGCCUCCUACCAGUAAGCAGAGACAGGUGAGAGACAAGCAGUCUCUCCUACCUCUUCAUUACUGGGAAUCAUUUACCUAAAUUGUCUACAAUCUUCCACUCUCCUCAUUUCAGAGUUAAUGAAACGAUACCAGACCAGCUGCAAAGAAGUACAGGAAGAUGCAAGUGAGAGAACAGAGCUUUGAUUUGUCCCCUGAAGAGUGUCUUGACCCAGAUGAUUACUCCUUCUCCUCUUUCUGUCAAGAUGGUAAACUGGCCUAUGGCAAGGCUUCAAGAACAGUCAAGUGAAUGCCUGUCCUGUUUCAAAACAGUGACCGUAUUUUAGCCACUAUCUACUGAAUUUGGAACCAUUUCUUUUAUACAAGCAGAUAAACUUCUUCCAACAAUCAUUUACUGGUGAAAAUACAGGCUUCAGCCAUCUAAAAUUCCCUUCAGAUGACCAAUAAAGUUUUUACAGUAUUACCCCCUAGCUAGCUAACUACUCCUAUAGAUACAUGUAACCAGAACAACAGUUACACUGAAUGUUGAAAAACUGCCUCAGUGCAGAUAGCAAUACAAUUCCUAUACUGCACUUCUUCGUUCAGUAACUAAAUAACAAACAAAUCUGUAAUUCAUUAGCAAAAAGGUAGAGCAGACUAAAGGCACAAACACUGCCUUUGCCCAGAGCAUUAAACAGGGGAAAAUGCAGUUGUAUCACCUGGAAGUGUCUUACCAAAUCCUUGUGAUGAGUCCACAAAUUAAAAAAAAAAAAUUAAAAAAAAAAAA